GAUCAUUACAAGUUGACCCCGGCCCUCGGGCCGGGAUGUUCACAACCCUUUGUUGUCCGACUCUGUUGCCUCCGGGGACGACUCUCCUAGCCUACCGGGUCCUUUGGGGGCCCCGGGUGGAGCAUUUCAAACUCUUGCGUAACUUUGCAGUCUGAGUAAAUUUAAUUAAUAAAUUAAAACUUUCAACAACGGAUCUCUUGGUUCUGGCAUCGAUGAAGAACGCAGCGAAAUGCGAUAAGUAAUGUGAAUUGCAGAAUUCAGUGAAUCAUCGAAUCUUUGAACGCACAUUGCGCCCCCUGGUAUUCCGGGGGGCAUGCCUGUUCGAGCGUCAAUUUCACCACUCAAGCCUCGCUUGGUAUUGGAUGUAUUAAUGCGACGCGGUCCGCCGUCAGCAAAGUUUCCAGUCUUUCAAAUGUCCACCCGGGGGGGGGCUGGGUCUUUCGUCCCCUCAGCGUUGUGGAAACAUAUUCGGACAAUAAAGGGUGCCGCGGGAGGCCACGCCGGGUAAAACAACCCCAUUUCUAAGGUUGACCUCGGAUCAGGUAGGGAUACCCGCUGAACUUAAGCAUAU
rnacentral:rRNA from 1 species